GGACUGGUAGCACAGUGGUAGUGCACCAAACCUAGUGUGUUGUUGGGGGUCCCAGGUUUGAGUCCUGGCCUGUCCA